rnacentral:rRNA from 1 species
GUCCACGCAGUAAACGAUGGAUACUAGCUGUCCGGGUCGAGCGAGACCUGGGGGGCACAGCGAAAGCGUUAAGUAUCCCACCUGGGGGAGUACGCCGGCAACGGUGAAACUCAAAGGAAUUGACGGGGGCCCGCACAAGCGGAGGAACAUGUGGUUUAAUUCGAUGAUACGCGAGGAACCUUACCCGGGCUCAAACGCACAAGGAACACUUUUGAAAGGAGGUGGCCCCACGGGGGCCUUGUGCGAGGUGCUGCAUGGUUGUCGU